rnacentral:rRNA from 1 species
AGAGUUUGAUCAUGGCUCAGGACGAACGCUGGCGGCGUGCCUAAUACAUGCAAGUAGAACGCUGAAGAGAGGAGCUUGCUCUUCUUGGAUGAGUUGCGAACGGGUGAGUAACGCGUAGGUAACCUGCCUUGUAGCGGGGGAUAACUAUUGGAAACGAUAGCUAAUACCGCAUAACAAUGGAUGACCCAUGUCAUUUAUUUGAAAGGGGCAAAUGCUCCACUACAAGAUGGACCUGCGUUGUAUUAGCUAGUAGGUGAGGUAACGGCUCACCUAGGCGACGAUACAUAGCCGACCUGAGAGGGUGAUCGGCCACACUGGGACUGAGACACGGCCCAGACUCCUACGGGAGGCAGCAGUAGGGAAUCUUCGGUAAUGGGGGCAACCCUGACCGAGCAACGCCGCGUGAGUGAAGAAGGUUUUCGGAUCGUAAAGCUCUGUUGUAAGUCAAGAACGAGUGUGAGAGUGGAAAGUUCACACUGUGACGGUAGCUUACCAGAAAGGGACGGCUAACUACGUGCCAGCAGCCGCGGUAAUACGUAGGUCCCGAGCGUUGUCCGGAUUUAUUGGGCGUAAAGCGAGCGCAGGCGGUUUGAUAAGUCUGAAGUUAAAGGCUGUGGCUCAACCAUAGUUCGCUUUGGAAACUGUCAAACUUGAGUGCAGAAGGGGAGAGUGGAAUUCCAUGUGUAGCGGUGAAAUGCGUAGAUAUAUGGAGGAACACCGGUGGCGAAAGCGGCUCUCUGGUCUGUAACUGACGCUGAGGCUCGAAAGCGUGGGGAGCGAACAGGAUUAGAUACCCUGGUAGUCCACGCCGUAAACGAUGAGUGCUAGGUGUUGGAUCCUUUCCGGGAUUCAGUGCCGCAGCUAACGCAUUAAGCACUCCGCCUGGGGAGUACGACCGCGAGGUUGAAACUCAAAGGAAUUGACGGGGGCCCGCACAAGCGGUGGAGCAUGUGGUUUAAUUCGAAGCAACGCGAAGAACCUUACCAGGUCUUGACAUCCCGAUGCUAUUUCUAGAGAUAGAAAGUUACUUCGGUACAUCGGUGACAGGUGGUGCAUGGUUGUCGUCAGCUCGUGUCGUGAGAUGUUGGGUUAAGUCCCGCAACGAGCGCAACCCCUAUUGUUAGUUGCCAUCAUUCAGUUGGGCACUCUAGCGAGACUGCCGGUAAUAAACCGGAGGAAGGUGGGGAUGACGUCAAAUCAUCAUGCCCCUUAUGACCUGGGCUACACACGUGCUACAAUGGUUGGUACAACGAGUUGCGAGUCGGUGACGGCAAGCUAAUCUCUUAAAGCCAAUCUCAGUUCGGAUUGUAGGCUGCAACUCGCCUACAUGAAGUCGGAAUCGCUAGUAAUCGCGGAUCAGCACGCCGCGGUGAAUACGUUCCCGGGCCUUGUACACACCGCCCGUCACACCACGAGAGUUUGUAACACCCGAAGUCGGUGAGGUAACCUUUUGGAGCCAGCCGCCUAAGGUGGGAUAGAUGAUUGGGGUGAAGUCGUAACAAGGUA